rnacentral:lncRNA from 1 species
CUUGUUCAAAGAAACAUAUCAAGAAGAUGGUUCUUACAAACGCUGAGAUUCUUGAGCUUGAGGCUGAAAUGGAUCGUAUCGAAAAAGCAAUGACAAAAAAUGAAGAACAUGAGAAGGUAAAAAGUGUUCAUUUCGACACUCUUAUAAUUAAUUAACAGCUUUCUAUAUAUAUUUCCAUUUUUUUGUGUGUACAAAAAUAUAUAUAACUAGAUUUGUUUUGUAUAUAAUAAUUUAGGAGUGGUAUAGAAUCAAAGGUGAGACUGAUAUCCACAAGAAGUUCGAUGAUGAGAUGCGUUGUAUCUUCAUCGAAGCAGACAUAAUAAAUCUCAAACAUUUGAACGUAAAAUAUCCAUUUAAAUGCUUUUAUUUAUUUAUAAUAACGUUAUUAUUUUUAUUUGGAGUGAAUGAUUAAAAAUGUUAAUUGGAUUAUUGAAAUUAUUAGGAAUUGAUCAAGAAAAUACGCAAAGCUAUUGUGGAGGAAGAUGCAGCAACCUCUUCUAAAUAAAAGAAUAAUUAAGCUUGCUCGAUCGGAUAACAAAGUAAAGAAAAAAUAAAUUAAUAGUAAUUUUCGUAUUAUUAUUAAAUCUGUUAUGGAAUAAUUAAUUAUUUAUGUCUCUUGCUGGAAUAAUGAAUAUAUGAUUUGCC